GGGGUAGUGGCCUACCAAGGCGACGACGGGUAGCCGGCCUGAGAGGGCGACCGGCCACACUGGGACUGAGACACGGCCCAGACUCCUACGGGAGGCAGCAGUGGGGAAUAUUGCACAAUGGGCGCAAGCCUGAUGCAGCGACGCCGCGUGAGGGAUGACGGCCUUCGGGUUGUAAACCUCUUUCAGUGGGGAAGAAGCGCAAGUGACGGUACCCACACAAGAAGGCCCGGCCAACUACGUGCCAGCAGCCGCGGUAAUACGUAGGGUGCGAGCGUUGUCCGGAAUUACUGGGCGUAAAGAGCUCGUAGGUGGUUUGUCGCGUUGUUCGUGAAAACCUGAGGCUUAACCCUGGGCGUGCGGGCGAUACGGGCAGACUGGAGUACUGCAGGGGAGACUGGAAUUCCUGGUGUAGCGGUGGAAUGCGCAGAUAUCAGGAGGAACACCGGUGGCGAAGGCGGGUCUCUGGGCAGUAACUGACGCUGAGGAGCGAAAGCGUGGGGAGCGAACAGGAUUAGAUACCCUGGUAGUCCACGCCGUAAACGGUGGGUACUA
rnacentral:rRNA from 1 species